rnacentral:rRNA from 1 species
AUUGAACGCUGGCGGCAGGCUUAACACAUGCAAGUCGAGCGGUAGCACAAGAGAGCUUGCUCUCUGGGUGACGAGCGGCGGACGGGUGAGUAAUGUCUGGGAAACUGCCUGAUGGAGGGGGAUAACUACUGGAAACGGUAGCUAAUACCGCAUAACGUCGCAAGACCAAAGAGGGGGACCUUCGGGCCUCUUGCCAUCAGAUGUGCCCAGAUGGGAUUAGCUAGUAGGUGGGGUAAUGGCUCACCUAGGCGACGAUCCCUAGCUGGUCUGAGAGGAUGACCAGCCACACUGGAACUGAGACACGGUCCAGACUCCUACGGGAGGCAGCAGUGGGGAAUAUUGCACAAUGGGCGCAAGCCUGAUGCAGCCAUGCCGCGUGUGUGAAGAAGGCCUUCGGGUUGUAAAGCACUUUCAGCGAGGAGGAAGGUGGUGAACUUAAUACGUGCAUCAAUUGACGUUACUCGCAGAAGAAGCACCGGCUAACUCCGU